rnacentral:lncRNA from 1 species
AACAAGAACAACUGUCACUGUGAUUCGGGAUGGGCCCCUCCGGACUGCAGGGCAGAAGGGUUUGGAGGCAGCGUUGACAGCGGACCACCUCCUUCUUACUAUGUGUACGGAGCUACGGUCAAAGCUGUUGGAACACUGCUUCUUUUCACCCUGAUUUUGGGCGUCCUGCUGUACAAGAGGGCUGAUAUUGCCAAGUGUAUCCGAAGGUGGCAACGUCAAAGAUGGGACAAAAGAAACAACCCCACUCCUCCUCCUCCAGAACUGGAGAGCCCAGAAAAUGCAUAGAAGUCCUCCUGAGCUGUGCAGGGUGCAGGAACCCAAGGUUUGUCUGCAUCCCAGAGGGCUCUGCAGGACCCAGCCCUGCUUCCCAGGCCUGUCCCAUCCAUUUCGCUUUCGUUACGUUUUAAAUAACGAC